UGAUUUUAUGCUAGUUUCAUUCCCUUUAAAUACAAAAUUUGCUUUUUUAUCUGAAAAAUGUUCUCAGGCCCAUGUGAUUUUUACAUACAACAAUUUAAAAUUCUUUCAUAGCUCCUCAUUGUAAACCUCAUAGGAAACCUAUACUCUGUAUCAAACGUAAAUGGCAUUCCAUUAGCUGGCCUCUGUCCACUUCUUCAUAUACACUGUGCCUGUGCUACUAACCCAUCACACCCAAGUUCCUUUGUACAGUUCUUUAAAUGCACCGUUCUCCUACAAACCUCUCAUUUGUCUCUGAGGUUGGACUUUACUCCUUCUUCCCCUGGCCUUUCCCUAUUCAUAUACUUAAAUUUAAAUUAUCAAAAUCUCUUGACUAAUUAAUAUUUCCACCAUAAUAUUAAGUGUGUGAACAUUGAGAUGUUAUUACAAGAUUACUGUUGGUGCGAUUGUUUUGAAGGAAAGUUUUCCCAAAGCCAAACUCCCCAAAGGGACUUAAAUCAGGGUUCAACAAAGAGUAAGUGAUAUUAAAUAUUUAAUCUUAAUAUAUAUACAUAUAUGUGUAUAUAUAUGUGUGUGUGUAUAUAUAUAUGUGUAUAUAUAUAUGUGUGUGUAUACAUAUAUAUAUGAGACUGACAUUUUAUAGUUUGAAUUGAAAAUAUUUUACAUGGAUUUAAAGUUGCCAAUGAGGUGAUUAUCUGGAACCCAUUUUCAAAUCCUCUUUUUUUUGUGAAAUGAUUUGAGACACAGAAAAAUACCCCAUAGCUUUCCUUCACAGUGCCUGCCUCUGCCAAGUCUCUCCUGACCCCCAUAGACAGACUUAGCUGCCACACUCCUGUUGCUUUCCUUUGUAAUUGCUUAUAUGUUUGCUGUCUUUCUAACUUCUGCAAGCCUAAUCUCUUCCUCUCAGUUAUCUUGUUGUGUAAUAGUGCCUGGGAUGCAGCAAGCAACCAAGACAUUGCUUAUUAAAGGAAUCAUUGCAGGAUUUAAUAUAUACUACAUAGACACACUUGGUAGUAUCUGAGUUUGAUUUUUGUUGAUUGAGUAACUUAUCCUUACGUAGAGAUGCUGAAUAUCAGCUGUUAGAGAAUAGUCUGGCAAAUGGAACACGAUUGUGAUUGUGAUUUGAUGGGCAAAUGUCGUGUUAAUCUUUUUGUUUUCUGGCUGAUAGUUAAAUCUCUAGUACUGUACAUCAAAAGUGUCACAGCUAAGCAAUCUGAGGGAUUAAAUGACUCCUCAUAAUUUCUGUGUUGUUAAAUAGCAGAAGGAUAUUAUCUAAUCACUGUUGUCAGUGUAUGCUGGUGAACUCUUAUGGAAAACAUUUUCUUUUCUACUUUGAAAGCAUUAGGAAACACACUCAAAUUACAUUUUAAAAUGUUGUUUUCUGGAGUACACAAACAAUCUAUUUCAGUGCUAUUUCACUGUCAGUCAUUUCAAGUAUUUUACUAUAAACGCCCCAGUAGUGGUCACCUUUUAUAUUCAGGGCUUGUGUGUGUGUGUGAAUUGCUUCUGUGAUAACUCUUACAAAAUUAAUUUUUGAAUUAUUUGCUGUUUUGUCAUGACAGCUACAUAUGUAUGUUGUCGUUAUGUCUGAACACUAAUAGAUGCUUAAGAUUUUGUUGGCUUAAUUAUUUCUGAUAGCAUUUCUAAUGAUACUAUGUAAAACUCAUAUAACCCUCUACAUUUUACCUCUGGCUAAACAUUAGGCCUCCUUUUCUUGUCUCGUGUUUCCCAUUAAGUUUUCAAAAGCUAAAAAGGCCCAUUUUCUCUUUUAAAUGACUCAUUAUUGGAAACAGUUUCAAAGAGAACUGUGUAGCAGUUAAGAAAGGAAAGGUAUGAGAUAUCUCUUACUGUCUCUUACAGGUUUAUUCAGCAAGAAUACUUGACUUUCUGUCUCUUACAGGUUUACUCAGAAAGAAUACUUGAAAAUAGAUUACACAUAAUUACUUCACAAGGAGCUUUUUAAAAUCCAAUUACAAGAUUUCUAAUUUAAGUGAAAAAAUGGGAAAAAAAUAAGCUCCAGUCUCACUUAAAUCCAUUGUGCUAUUUUGCAGAAUAUCAAGUCCAUCUUGGGAGUUUAACUGUGGGAGGACUUUGUAAUAGCACUGUCUCCCUAUAACAGGAUUCCACAGAUAGCAUUAUGAUGAGACUCCUGUAUGUGUUCAUUUAAUUUCAGGGGUUGCUGCACUAAACAAUAAACCAAAUUUGAGAGCCUGAAUCCGGAUGUAUCUUGUCAGUUUCUUUCCCAGUCAGUUCAAUCAAAUGUCAUUCUAUUCAAUUGAAUAUACACAGGGUGAAUUUCAAGUAAGAGAAAAUUUAACUUGAGUGACAGAUUUUCUCUAAAAGUUGCUUUUGUUUGAUUUCAUCUUUUUUUCCUUUCUUUACUGUGAAACCACACAAUGAAAUGGAAAUCAGGAUGUCGAUUCUGUUGCUGCUGCAGCUUUCUGCUUCUGACUUAGGCUUUUGCAUGAGUAAAAGUAGUUGCUUCAUAUAUUCCUCAUGUGGAUGUGCAGGAUGUGCCCUGUACAAAAAUCCAGGAAGCACUGUUUACAGAGACCAUUAUGUGCAUGACUACAACUAGAGUUUUAUGUUGCCCAUCUUGGAUGACUGUAAACAGAAGACCGCUGAGCUUCCUCAAUUUGAAAGAGGUAUUUUCUUCCUGCUUUCUUUCAAAGGAAUGCAAAGAAUGAGAAUGACAGAAGUUUUGAUUUGUGAUUUAGGCACUAUCUGAAGGCACUUUAGGGAAUGUGAGCCCUGAACUGAUACAUUGUGACCCUAGGUACAGAAAUUACUUAAAUUCUCUGGGCCUUAGUUUUCUGAUCUGUGAAAUAUAAAUAAUAAUAUCUGUUCUAUUGAUGCAGGAUUUUUUGCUCCUCAGCUCAGCUAAAUCUGGGUUCUUGUCUCACAACGAGGAAAAAUUACGCACAUGGACACACUAAAAGGAGAUGUUUCUUUUGUGUAUCUUGCUGUUUUGGUAGUCACCUGUUUGCAGUGGCACCAUUGAAUCUAUCUUCAAGAAGCUGAGAAAGCAGAAACCUGGGAAUUAAUGGAUUCAGUAUUAUAAAUCAACUUGGAUGGAGCUGGAGACCAUUAUUCUAAGUGAAGUAACUCAGAAAUAGAAAACCAAACACCAUAUGUUCUCACUUUUAAGUGGGAGCUAAGCUAUGGGUAUGCGAAGGCAUACAGAACGGUAUAAUGGACACUGGAGAGUCAAAAGCAGCCGACUUGGAGGGGAUGAGGAAUAAUAUUGGGUAUGAUGCACACUGUUCAGAUCAGGAAAUCCUGAGAGUUGUCAUGAAACCCUCUGCCACAUUUCCAAUAUUUUAUUAGUAGGGAAAUAGUGAAAAUGAAUGGAUCUGACAGACACAAGCAAUUGAGAGUAUGGCCUAAAGAAAAAAAAUCCACUGAACAUCAUGCAAUUAGAAGUGCCAUUAGGAAAGGGGUCAAUGGAUUGGCUGGAGAAAGCUGGAAGCUUGAAAUGACUGUCUACAAGGUGAUCAAGAACACAGCACCUGGAUGAAGGGAGGAGCAAGAGGAAAGGUGGUGACAGUAAGCAAGGAGAGCAAACCUUCAGAGGGCUAAGGGGAAGCCCUUCACCCCUACAGUUUUGGCACUGUGAACAGGAUCUCAUCAAAGCUGCUCUGCUUUUCAGGGAGCCACAGUGAAAGAAACCCAGGACCUGACAAGCCAACAGAAAGGUAAGAAUUUUUACCAGCCAGGCUCCUGGUCUCUCUUCCUGUGGAAUUUGACUGAGCUGACGCUAAAAACCCACUAUUUGUCUCUCUUUUUCUCUGCAAAGUUCUGAUUAAUAGGAGAAAAAAAUUUGUGUGAGUAGUCUUGGGUAUAGCAAUGCUGGUAUAUUUUAUGGUAUAAAUAUUCAUAUUGUUUGAUUCCUAUCAUACCCAAAACAGACUAUGUUGGUUAAUACUGAGUGUCAACUUAAUUGGAUUGAAGGAUGAAAAGGGUUGUUCCUGGGUGUAUCUGUGAGGGUAUUGCCAAAAGAGAUUAACAUUUGAGUCACUGAAUUGGGAAAUGCAGAACCACCCUCAAUCUGGAUAGGCACAAUCUAAUCAGUUGCCAGUGCAGCUAGAAUAAAAGCAGGCAAAGAAAUGUGGAAAGACUAGACUGGCUUAGUCUUUUGGCCUACAUCUUUCCCCCAUGCUGGAUACUUCCUGCCCUCAAAAAUUGGACUCCAAGUUCUUCAGCUUUUCGGCUCUUGAACCUUCAACCACAGACUGAAGGCUGCACUGUUGGCUUCCCUAUUUUUGAGAUUUUGGGACUCGGACUGUAUUCCUUGCUCCUCAGCUUGCAGAGGGCCUUUUGUGGGUCCUCACCUUGUGAUUGUGUGAGUCAAUACUCCUUAAUAAACUCUCCUUUAUGUAUACAUGUAUCCUAUUAGUUCUGUUCCUCUAGAGAACCUUGACUAAUACACAGUAUUUUCCUUUGUUUUUCCAUGUUGUUCUGUCAUAAAAGGGAUAUUAUAGGGUAAAACACAGGCCUAAAACCACUAUAAUCCCAUUGCUCAAGCUGGCCCUGCAGACCAGUCAGUUUUGCCAUUCUGAUCAGAAUGGUAUAUAAAAUUUGCUGUCUGUCCCCAAAAUAAAAACUGGAUGAGUUUCCCCUCUUGUCUUGUUUUAUGUCUUUGAGGGCUUGACUUUUGACACAGUGGGAACACUCUGGCUCUGCACCAUCUAGGGGGAGGGGAAUGAUUUUUGGGUCACAUCUGGUGGCCAAUCUGAAAAGAUUAGGAAUCCAAGACACAUAAGAUUCUAUGCAACACACUCUUUGUUCUGAAUGUGUCAUGCUCUCAGGGGAGCUUGUCUUAAGACAUUCCAUUCCCACGAACUUUUGUCAUCUCAACUCUUGUAGCCUUGUUAGUCCAGGAAAUGUUUAAUCCCAGGAGGGCCUAGCUGGUGUCAUGGAUUGACAGAUCUAUGAUGAGCAGCACCCACAAACUUGUGGGUAACCAGGCCCUGUACACAUAAACACCAUCCUUAACCAUCAGUGGCAACAAGAGACUUUUGCUAUCUUAACCUAUUCUUUGAAGCAAAAGUUCUGGAGAGAGAUCUUUGGGAUUGCCUCUCCUAUGCCUUCUCCAAAAAACAUCAAUUUAGUCUUAUUCUAAACCUAUAAAAUUACACCCUGAGCUUUCUAUGAAGUUGCCACUGGGUUGAGUCACCGUUGGAAUAAGUACACUAUUGGAAAUUCUAAUCAUUAGUGGAUCAUUUACAUUAGACAGACUACUAAAUUACAAAAAAAAGUUUUUAGAGAUCUCUCAUUUUAAAAAAUUGUUUUAUUUAUUUGUAUUUAUGGAGACAUCAAAUUAAUAGAAAAACAUAUAAUAGUGUCAUGAUAGAAAAUCUUUUGACUAAAUUAAAAUGCUAAAAUCUACCUGACCUAAAACAAAGUUAAAAUUCUUUAUAUGCUCAGACUGCCUGCUUUAGACCCCACACAGAACUGACAAUGAAAGCUGCCCUACCUUGUAAUCUAGAAGAUACAAUUCUGUUCCAUCACUAUGGCCUGGAUUCAAUUCCCAGUUAAAGAGCCAGACCCCUUUCAUUUGAUAUUUUCUGACUUUUGCCUUUUGGGAGGACCCAUUUAUUGUUGGGAAGAGGAACGUUGGUAAAAAUAAUAAGGUUCAAAAGCCAGUAAUAUCAGGGAUAUCAACUAUUUAUCCCGGCUAAAAUCUGAUACUUAGAGACUUUUUAAAAGUUUUUUUAAAGUGCUCCUUUGUCAGAAGUCAUAUUAAUUAGAAGCUGAUAUUCAAGGUCUUUCUGAUUUUGGAUCUGUUUUUGAAUUUUUUUUUCAGUUGUCUGAACCCCUUUUUAAGAUUAUGUAAUUUGUCCCUCUGUUUUCUGUUUUUUUUUUAAUUUCCCCCCCAUUUAUUUCUACUCCUUGCCUCUCCUUCCUCUUUGCCAUCUUUGAUACCACAUGAAGAAAUCUAGAAGAGACUUCUAACAACCCUGAAAUACCUAGAAGAAAAUAGAAAAAGACACCACACACACUGAUUCUGGGGUCUUCUCUCUUCUUCCUAGUGGAUCCUGAAAAUCUACUUUGCCCUCGUUUACAGCUUUGCUCUCUUUUGCAUUGAAUCACCUGAUCUCUUUGGCUUUUGGGAGUACCAGGAGUUACUUUGUACUAUAAGAGGAAACCUUUGUAUGUGCAAUGGCUGGUGGGUUACUGGCUAUAGUUUCAGAGGUGGCUGACAGUGGUUGCAAUAAAUAGUUAUUACUGAAAGGGGAUAUGCACUUCUUGGCACCUUAGAUAAGAAAUGGAUGCUUUGAACACUUGAAAUAUAUGGGAGUGCUCACCACCAAUGUAUAAGACUCCCAUGGGCGACGAGCUAAUCAUAGUGGGCUGACUGGCAUUGGGUCAUGCACCAACUUUGUGGGGGAUCUCUUUUUAGUGAGGUAUACUGUGGGAACAUUGCACGGCCUAAUCUCAUGCAUGGUGUUUUCCUCUUUGUGGGGACCUAGAAUCCAGUGUAAAAAUAAAAUCUUUAAUUUAUGUGGAUCUGGGUAUUCUACCUUCCAGUUGUGCCUGCUUUUUAUAUAUUAAAUAUUAGGCCCUAGAAACUGCAAAUGCUUGGUUGACUGUAUUCAUUAAUGGACUCUGCCUUGAGCUCAGGUAUGCAGUUAGAAAACAGACUAAAUUAAAAGCCAUCUAUCUAACUAGAUUGCUCUCCAAAAUAUGACUUUCUGGUAUUCAGCUGGUUAUUUUGAAAAGGUUUUAAAAUUUUCUCUAGAGUCACUUGUCUGUUUUUGUGUAAAAUCCUGUGAUUAAUUUCUAUGAUUUUAUGUUACCUUGGCAUCCAUUUUUAAUCUCCCUCUAACAAAUCCAAACUCCUUCUUAAAAAAUUUUAUUUUUUUCUGUGUCUUGAUAAAGAAAUUUGCUACUCUUUUCUUCUCUAAAACUUGGUGAGUGCGUGGGCCAUAUGAGACAGAUAAACUUUAAUCUUUUCUAUUUACAAAAGCAAAAUCUAAAUCCAACUGCCCUUUUAAACGAGUAAGUUUUACCUGCCUCCUGGAUAAAAUUUUAAAAUAAAAGUUAUAAGUUUUUUUGUGUUUCUCUGUAUUUUUAUGUAUAUAUGUGUAUACAUAUCAUACACAUCUGUUUGUAUAUUAUCUGCAUGAUAUCAAAUUAACUUGUAAGUAUAUGAGUACUCAUAGAUUAAGUAAAUAAUCUCAAAUUCUUUUAAAGUUCACAUGACUUUAGUAAUCUUUGGUAUAUAAAGCCAGUUUUUAAAUUACUGGUAAAAUAUAAUACAAAUGUUUUCAAAAUUUAAUUUAGAGAUUUUUGCCUGGAUAUAUUCGUUUGAUAGGAUUAGAAUGUUUCUGAUAAAUAUUCAGUGAUACUUUUGAUAUUGACUUACUUUGUAAGUUUAUGUCUUGGUUUUAAGCUUUUAGAUUCUGAAGACUAGACUAGUGGCCAGAGUGAGUGUUGGAAAUAGAUACCCAAAGUUCUUCCUGGCCUAGCUGUGCCUCUUGGCCAUGCUAGGAAGGGUUAAGUCCUCCAGACAUUGUCUUCACAACUCUGUUUUUUUGUCCUGAGCUCUGCAUCUGUUACAUAAUUAAAACUGCUUAUUUCCUUAGUUUUCCACCAAAAUUAAGGGUUACUAAGAGUUAACAUUGUAAUUAAUUUAUGCAAUUAAAACUACUAGAUAUGAGAAACAAUUCAAUAUGCAAAAUGUGUAAGAAAGAUGGAAUGUUUUUUAAUAAGGAAGAUUAUUUUUAAAAGGCAUUAAAUGUGGCUUUUGUUAAAGGAAAAAUAAUUUUGUCUUAUUUAGAGGCUAUUUAAAGGUUCUUUUAAAUUCAAAAAAUAUGAAAAAUUGUUAAAACUAAAUGGAUAUUAAAAAGUUUGUAUUUGUCCAUUUUUGUAUUGCUAUAAAGAAAUACCAGGGGCAGGCCAAGAUGGUCAAUUAGAAGCAGCUGAUGUCCACAGUUGUUACAGAGAAGAACAAAAGCAGUGAGUUAAUUCUACACCUUCAACUGAGGUAUCCCGGUUCUCACACUGGGACUGACUAGGUGUUCAGCAUGACCCUUGGACAGUGAGAAAAGGCAGAGUAGGGUGAUGGCCCACCCAUGAGUGGCAUGGAGCCAGAGGAGCCACUACCCCCUGCCAAAGGAGGCAGUGAGUGAUUGACUCUACCCAGGAAACCACACUUUUCCUACAGAUCAUUGAAACCUGCAGAUCAGGAUUCCCUUGUGAGCCUGCACUACCACAGCCUUGGGUAUGAAGCAGAGAGCUGUGCAGACUCUCAGCAGCCACUUGGGCAAGCACGGAGACUCAGGAGUUUUUGCAUACUCCAGCCCUGGUAACUUCAGUGAGGGAGGAGAUCUGUCCAUUCCCCUAGGAAGGGAGCUGAAGCCACAGAGGCACGCAGUGUCAUUCAGUAAGCCCCAUUCCCAUGGCACCUCACAAGUUAAUACCUACUGCCUUGGGAUUCCAGCAAGCCAAGGCCAGCAGGCUGGAGACUGUGUGAGACAACCAAGUUCCUGGGGAGGGUUGGAGGAGGGGUGCCUACCAUCUCUGUGGCUCAAGUCAGCUGUUUUGGCCUGCCAGCUCCAGGGAGUCUGGGCAGUCCAGAAAAGAGAAAUUCCCCACAGUUGCAGCACAGCUACUGUUACAGAUCGUGGUCAGACUGAUUCUUUAAGUGAGACCCCAAUCCAUCCCUCUCACUGGGCCAGGCCAAUCUGCAUGAGUUUUGGCAUCUUGAGUCAGGGUUUUAUGAAACGUUGAUCUCCCUGGAAUGGAGCUUUUUGGGGAGGGGCGGCUGUGGUCUCUACGGUUCAGCUGACUUAGUUUUUUCUGCCUGCUGGCUCUGAAAAGUCUGGGCAAUCUGGAACAGGGGGUUCUUCCUGGAAUAGUGUACCUGCUCUGCCAAGGGGUAGUGAGACUGCUUUUUUAAGUAGGUCCCUUAUCCCAUACCUCCUGACUGGGUGAGACCUCACAGCAGGGGUCUCCAGACGCCUCCUGCAGGAGUAUUCAGGCUGGCAUCAGGUCAGUGCUCCUCUGAGACAGAGCUCCCAGAGGAAGGAGCAGGAAGGCCAUCUUUGCUGUUUUGCAGCUUUCACUGAUGACCCCUCCAGAUGUGAGAGGGAUUCAGGUAAUGGAGUCUGGAAUGGGCCCCCAGAAAAAUGCAGCAGCCUUAGGGAACAGGGGACUAAUUGUCAAAAGAAGAAUAAACAAACAGAAAGCAACAACAACAACAACAUCAACAUAAAACACCCCACAAAAACACCAUUCAAAUGUCAGCAAUCUCAAAGAUUCAAAGGUAGAUAA